AUUAUGCAGUCCACAAAUCUCAGGUCCGGUGCCGCUGAACGUUUUUUAAAACUUGGAAUUGGCGCCGCGUCAAAUCCUCAGCAUCCCCCGGAAUCGGAAUCGGAAUCGGGGAACGUGCCCAAGUCCCAUUUUAAGAAGACAGUUUGUUUGGCUGAUUGGUGGUUGACAAAAGUUGAAACUGGCUUCCAAAGGAGGGGACUUGCCGUCGCUGGGUUUAGUUCUCGAGAGAAACAAGCCUUGAGAGUUUUUUCAUCUGCGCCAAUCCUUAAGAGAUAUGAUAUAUUUACUCUUGAGACAUCUGAUGGGAUAUGUGUAAUCUUGAAAGGUUUUAUAAACAAAGCUCAGACUUUGGAAAAUGGGUUUCCAUCUGAUGUAUGCAAUCAUUUUGUUUUUGGCUUUCCACCUAACUGGAAGGACUAUGAUGAACAGUGCAAGCAUAAAAAAUCUUCCCCUGACAACAUUUCCGGAGUUGACCUUUACAAUAAUUUAUCUUUCAAAUCUCAAGGUGUGAAUCACUUUGAAGAUGGGUGCGAAAAUUUUGUGGGAUCUAAAGAUGGAAUGAAUGCUAAGGAUGUAAAAAAAAACAAAAAACCUAGUGUAGCAGCUCCAUAUUCCGAGAAACCUGCCAAUGUGGUCUCUGAGGGUAACUUAAAUAUGCCUUCCAUUUCCUGUGGAAUCACCGGACAAGAAUCUUUGGCCGAUGCUCAAUAUGUUCCACAAGGUAUAAAGAGAAGGAUAGAGUUGGAUGCUGAUUCAGUUAAAAAUGAUCUUGGACAUAAUUUUGAGGCUCCUACGCAGCAUUCAAAGAAUAUGCCUAAGCCUAAAGACAGAAAGAGUAAGAAGAAAAGUACAGUGACAAGACCACUCCGUGAGGGUACCUACAAGCAGAAAGUAGAUGCUGAUGCAAGUAUUUUGUCUGAGAGUGCUGGAGCAUCGGGGGCUAAGACUAAAAGAAGAGAAUAUAAAACACCUGACGUAGGACAUGAACAAACUGGGCCUGCUUCUUCAAGUAGGCUAAUGAGUUGUACAAGAUCCAGAUCAGGGAGAUUGCUGAUGCCGACAUUGGAAUUUUGGCGCAAUGAAAGAGCGAUAUACAGUGUGGAUAGAACGGUUACUGGGUUUCAGAAAAGCAUGCGGUCGGAAGAGCUAAGAAAGGGAUGUAUAUUAAUCAUAUAAAAAAGGCAAGGAAAUCAUAAAGCAUAGAGCUAGAAAAAUGCACUAAGAAACUGAGAACAAAAUCUGUAAAAUGCAGCACGAAACCUCUUAUCCAUGUACAGAAAAAAGAAAUGGACGAAAAUUUUGCUAAAAUAUCAGAGCGAGUAAAAUCUUUCACCUCUCCUCAGUUUUGUGGUAAACAUAUAAGAUUUGCUUCAAGUUCAGAUGAUGAUCCCUCCGAAGAAGAUGAUACCUCUGAAGAUGCUGAAUAUGACACUACUCAAGUUGGGAACAAUACUGACAUCGGCCGUGUUCCCCUGUCAAAUGGAUUAGAUCGUGCAAGUAAUUGCCCCUAUCCAUCCGCAAAUGAAGAAAAGAAAAGGCUGGGGUUGAUAAAUGACAGUGACUCAAGGCUUCGUAGGCAUAGUGGUGCUGUAAGUCGCACUUCAGAUCAUGUGCCUCGGGAAAAGAGGAAAUAUGAGCAGAUCAGAUCAAGCAGAUCUUCUCCGGUGAAGGAGUCUAAACGGGAUAACACCAAUGCAAGUACCACGCAUAAGAGCCCUAACAAUGAAGUUUUAGGUGGUCCUUCUAUAUCUGCAGAGUCAUUAAGAAUGUUUGUUACACCUUGGAAAGAGGCCUGCCAAGUGAACAAUGCUGAUGAGCUUAUGUUUAUAAAGCUUGAAAUGCCGGAUAAUAUAUACAACACUUUUCACCAAACUUCUAGCGAGCACAGAAUGGAUGACACCCCAUGUGACAGUUCAACUGCUUAUAAGAGCAUUGAUGUUAAACGUACUGAGAGGAUCUUCCUGGAUCAACAUCAAAAGUUUGUGGCCGUGAUUAUGUUGCAGUCGAAGGUAUUAUGAAGAAAAAUUCUGAAUAUUUUGCGAAUGACAUCCCAAGCUACGAAGAUCUCUCUCUUGAACAUAGGUUCUGUUUCUUGAGGAAGCUUUGCAAAUGUGAGUAUUGGUUAAUGGAACAAUAUUCUGUUAACAAGUUUGACUCUCUUGGCUAUGGAGAAUAUUUUAUAUUUCUAGAGAAGUAUUUGCAUCUCUUGCCUCAGUCAUUACUGAAAUGCAUUAUAGGAGGCAUACCUGAGAGUGUUCGUUUGGAGGCACACUUGCUUCCAGAAAUGAAGUAAACGAGAGGAAUAUUCCUGAGUUGUUGGCAAGGCAAUUUCCAUUAGCAUCCUUCAAAUUAGUGAACUGUGACCUCAUUCCAACUUUACCAGAUAUUAUACGAGAAAAAUGGGAUAUUUUAACUUCAAACUCUGUAUUAUUUUCUACACCUUUAUUAAUAUCUCCAGCUCAAAAUGAGAAAACAUUAGAAUAACAGCGUUUGUUUGGUAUACACGAAACAAUGGUGGCUCGACAUGGGAGCAACAAGCCACAUCUGCAUGAAUAAGAAUCAUUUCUUCUCCUUCGAGCGUGUUGAAGGAGAAACAAUGUACAUGGGGAAUGUUGCUCCUGAUGAAGUCAAAGGGAGAGGAAAUAUGCUUUUGAUGAUGAUGUCCGGAAGAGUUUUGACACUGACCAACUUUCUGUAUGUGCCGGCGAUGACGAAGAAUUUGGUCUCGGGGACGCUCCUAAUGAAACAUAGCUUUAAUAUUAAUAUAAAUGGUGAUAAUUUUGUUUUGCGUAAAUCAUAAAGUUAUGUGGGUAAGGGUUAUGUAGAGGAUGAACUUUUGAAAUGGUGUAUUAUGAAUGUUAUUGAAAAUAAUAAUAAUAAGUAUGAUGCUUAUAUUGUUGA